rnacentral:lncRNA from 10 species
CCAGUCCCAUCAAGAGUUUAUGAGAGGAGAGAGGAUUCCCUUGUACAAUUGGUGAGUGCAGGGUGGACACUAAGUGCUCUCUUUCAGUCUCCUGGUCUGCGUGAAUGUUCACAACCCCAGAAAGAAUUCCAAAAGAGCAAAUAUGACCUUAGAAACUUCUCUAGCUCAUGGUGGCCACAGAAAUUGUCAUAAUUCUUCCAAGGCUGAAGUCCCGUCCCUGAAGUCCAUUCUCUGUCAGUGGUUUCUAUUAUCCCACCCCACAUUCGGCUGACUGAUGAACUUCCCAGGACAGUAUUCA